UACGUAGGGGGCAAGCGUUGUCCGGAUUUAUUGGGCGUAAAGGGUGUGUAGGUGGCGCCGUAAGUCGGGUGUGAAAUUUCGGAGCUUAACUCCGAAACUGCAUUCGAUACUGCCGUGCUUGAGGACUGGAGAGGAGACUGGAAUUUACGGUGUAGCAGUGAAAUGCGUAGAUAUCGUAAGGAAGACCAGUGGCGAAGGCGGGUCUCUGGACAGUUCCUGACACUGAGGCACGAAGGCCAGGGGAGCAAACGGG
rnacentral:rRNA from 1 species